rnacentral:rRNA from 1 species
UACAGAGGGUGCGAGCGUUGUCCGGAAUCACUGGGCGUAAAGGGCGCGUAGGCGGUCUCUUAAGCGUGUGGUGAAAGCCCGGAGCUCAACUCCGGGUCGGCCAUGCGAACUGGGAGACUGGAGCUUGUCAGAGGCAGGCGGAAUUCCGGGUGUAGCGGUGGAAUGCGUAGAGAUCCGGGAAAGAACACCGGUGGCGAAGGGCGGCCUGCUGGGACAGUGCUGGACGCUGAGGCGCGACAGCGGUGGGGGAGCAAACAGG